rnacentral:rRNA from 1 species
UACGAAGGGUGCAAGCGUUGCUCGGAAUUAUUGGGCGUAAAGGGCAGGUAGGUGGUCUUAUUUGUCUAGGGUGAAAUCCCAGGGCUUAACCCUGGAAGUGCCUUAGAAACGGUAGGACUAGAGUUCUAGAGAGGGUCGUGGAAUUCCGGUCGUAGCGGUGAAUGACGUAGAGAUCGGGAGGAACACCAGAAGCGAAGGCGACGACCUGGAUAGAUACUGACACUCAACUGCGAAAGCGUGGGGAGCAAACAGG